GAUAGGCGAAGCGUGCGAUUUGAUUGCACGUCUAAGCAGUAAGGCUGAGUAUUAGGCAAAUCCGGUACUCGUUAAGGCUGAGCUGUGAUGGGGAGAAGACAUUGUGUCUUCGAGUCGUUGAUUUCACACUGCCGAGAAAAGCCUCUAGAUAGAAAAUAGGUGCCCGUACCGCAAACCGACACAGGUAGUCAAGAUGAGAAUUCUAAGGUGAGCGAGCGAACUCUCGUUAAGGAACUCGGCAAAAUGACCCCGUAACUUCGGGAGAAGGGGUGCUCUUUAGGGUUAACGCCCAGAAGAGCCGCAGUGAAUAGGCCCAAGCGACUGUUUAUCAAAAACACAGGUCUCUGCUAAACCGUAAGGUGAUGUAUAGGGGCUGACGCCUGCCCGGUGCUGGAAGGUUAAGAGGAGUGGUUAGCUUCUGCGAAGCUACGAAUCGAAGCCCCAGUAAACGGCGGCCGUAACUAUAACGGUCCUAAGGUAGCGAAAUUCCUUGUCGGGUAAGUUCCGACCCG
rnacentral:rRNA from 1 species